rnacentral:rRNA from 1 species
UACAUGGGGUGCAAACGUUGCUCGGAAUUAUUGGGCGUAAAGCGCACGUAGGCGGUCCGUUAAGUCGGAUGUGAAAGCCCCCGGCUCAACCGGGGAAGUGCAUCCGAAACUAGCAGGCUAGAGUACGAAAGAGGGUCGCGGAAUUCCCGGUGUAGAGGUGAAAUUCGUAGAUAUCGGGAGGAACACCGGUGGCGAAGGCGGCGACCUGGGUCGAUACUGACGCUGAGGUGCGAAAGCGUGGGGAGCAAACAGG